UAUAUAUAGACCAGGGCUGCUGUGCUCUCAGGAGCACGGAGACCUCCGUGCUCCUGAGCCGUUUUCGAUGAUAGAGUUUUCGAAUCGGCGAUCGGCUCCGUUAAACUUGAUCUAGCGUAUUUGAAGUUUCUAGAAAAUAAUUUUUGUGAUUUUUCGAUAUCAUUGACCUAGCAAUCAAAAGGAUUCAAAAUCAAUAAUUUUUAACGGCUGAAAAUAAAAAUCUUAUAAAAAGUGGUGAUAUAGCACUAAAAUUUUCGAUCAGGAAUAUUGAUCUUGUUGUAGAUAGUAUAAAAAAUUUUGUAUCAAAAUUUUAUCUGAUUUGAAUACUUCUACACCGUUAAACUUGAAAACGGCAGAUAUCAACCAUUAAAAA
rnacentral:lncRNA from 1 species